AGGAAGGAGCUGGGGCUGGCGAGCCUGCUGUGCCGCAUCCCCAUCCGGCCAUUCCAGCCAACAGCAAAGGCAUCCCGCUGGCUCCUCUCGUUGAUGGUAUUGACUCCCUGGAGAUCCGAGAGCGGCGUCCGCGGGCUUUUCCGAGUAAUACUGUACUUCUCCUCCUUGCAUCUCUGCAGGAUCUCUAAGCUCCUCUGGUGAAC
rnacentral:lncRNA from 1 species